GUCCUCAUAGUCGGAUUUGAUAUAUUAGUAAUAUUACAUGAAACCAAUGGCAAUCAUGUUAAUUCUUGUCCAUAGUUUCUGGUUAUUGGUAGAAAAGAAACAUGUUUUCUUGAUUGAAACAGUACCAUAACUUUGCGCAAAGAGUCCCCUGGGCACAGAGUAAGUAUACAGAGGUCUCACUUCAGGUUAAUUUAGCUUAAGGGAUUUUUCAGUCCGCCAUGUUCUUAGCAAGUGCCUAAAGAGAGGCUGUUCCCCCUGAAAACAUAUUGAAACUUAAUGUUCCAGGGGGAUGAAUGCCUCUCUUUAGGGCACUUGCUAAGAACAUGGCCGCCAGAUAUGCGCAGUAAAACUUGCCUUGCGGUUUUCCCGCAAAGUGUGACCUCUGUAUGUACUUACCCUGUGCCUCAGGGUAUUUUGGGUGCAAACCUUGGCCCAUUAAAAUUUGGCUAUAU